rnacentral:tRNA from 2 species
UCUAAUAUGGCAGAAUAGUGCAAUGGAUUUAAACCCCAUUCAAAAAGCUUAAAGCUUUUUUUAGAA